rnacentral:rRNA from 1 species
CGCGUAGGCGGGACGGCAAGUCGGUCGUGAAAUCCCUGGGCUCAACUCAGGGGGGUCGGCCGAUACUGCCGUUCUUGAGGGAUGCAGAGGAGACUGGAAUUCCCGGUGUAGCGGUGAAAUGUGUAGAGAUCGGGAGGAACACCGGUGGCGAAGGCGGGUCUCUGGGCAUUCCCUGACGCUGAGGCGCGAAAGCGUGGGGAGCAAACG